rnacentral:snoRNA from 1 species
GUGCUGUGAUGAUUAAUUGUGCGCUCCAAGUGGAUAUUGGGUUACCCACUCUGUUCUGAUCUUUCAGACGAAAUAUGCGCAUCUGAGCCC